CUUGCUGGGGUUGUUGCGGUUGAAGUCACAGGAGGGCCAACCAUCGACUUUGUUCCAGGAAGAAUGGAUUGCGCAGAUUCUCCUGAUGAAGGACGCCUUCCUGAUGCAAAUCAAGGUGCCGGACAUUUGAGAGAAAUCUUUUACAGAAUGGGGCUUUCUGACAAGGAUAUUGUCGCGGUUUCAGGAGGCCAC